rnacentral:rRNA from 1 species
CGAACGCUGGCGGCGUGCCUAACACAUGCAAGUCGAGCGGGGUUGUCUGCGACACUGGUUGUUCAGAGGGAGCUGAACGAUGAGUGUUGCAGACAACCUAGCGGCGAACGGGUGAGUAACGCGUGGGCAAUCUACCCUCGGCAGGGGGAUAACACAGGGAAACCUGUGCUAAUACCGCAUAACACUGAGGUAUGGCAUCAUACAGCAGUCAAAGAUUUCAUCGGCAGAGGAUGAGCCCGCGUUGGAUUAGCUAGUUGGUGAGGUAACGGCCCACCAAGGCGACGAUCCAUAGCCGAACUGAGAGGUUGAUCGGCCACAUUGGGACUGAGACACGGCCCAGACUCCUACGGGAGGCAGCAGUGGGGAAUAUUGCACAAUGGGGGAAACCCUGAUGCAGCAACGCCGCGUGAAGGAAGAAGGCUUUCGGGUUGUAAACUUCUUUGAUAGGGGACGAUAAUGACGGUACCCUAAGAACAAGCCACGGCUAACUACGUG